GUAGGGUACUGGACACCAGGAGAAAAACCAAAAACUAGAUACAGAGUAAAGAUUAGGAAUCAAGCAAAUAUUAAAACCAUCCUGGGAAUCAAAUUCACCAGUUUCAAAGCAAGAAUCAAUAAGAUGCAAGUAAAACAAGGGUAGGAUCAAAAGUGUGAUUUUGAAGUCAGACAGAUGCUAGGAAAGAUGAAAUGCUUAUGCUGUCGGUACUAGAUGAAAAAAAUAUUUUCUUCUGGCAAAGCUUAUAAACUGUUUGAGGCAAUAAGAAUUAUAAACUUGAAACAAAAACAGUAGUAGACAUUACAUAAUUUGUUGUUAAAGUUCACUGAUAGACUUAAAUGCUGAAGGAGUUGAUGAUCUGCUUCUAGAAAGUGUGAGCAUGGAGCUGGGCUCAGAGGAUGGUUUACUGGUGGGAGGGAGAGGAAAUGAUUUCCUUUCAGUAGAGAGGAACAGUUCCAGAUGAAGGCAUGAAGCUGUAAAUGAUCCUGCUGUGUUUGUUGGAGCUAAUUUUAACUAUAGCAAAGGAGAAGAAUUUUAUAAAAAGUUCAGUUGGAGACUGUUAGGUAGGAUAAGAAAUUCAUAGUAAUAAAGACCCUUGAGAGGGUUUCUGAAAGAGUGACAUUGUGAAUGAUCAGUUAUAGCAU
rnacentral:lncRNA from 1 species